rnacentral:misc_RNA from 1 species
GUUCCUUCAAUGUCAUCAAGCCAUGUGAGUUGGACGAUUUAACCCUCUUUUCAUUUCCAUGUAUGACAUUUUUUCACCUAAUGCUUGAAUUUAUCUCGUUUUAGUUUAGAAUAUAGGAAGCAUGCUUUUGUUUGGUUCCUCAAUAAUUUUAUCAACAAUGGCCAUCUUUUGGAUUCUCAUUGGUUUGGAAUAUGUAAUGUAUCUGAUAUAUGUCAUGGGCAAUGCAUGGUCUUGGCUUUUGUUGCAGCGCACUGAACGAGUUUACUUGUAUCUUUUGUUCCAAUCUUCAGGGUUUCACAUUGAAGACUGAUUUUUGAGUCUCUCUUAAAAAGAAGUCUGUGGAUUAGUUUGCAUAUUUCCUAAUAUUGGUAGGGAUCUUUUUGAGUGGUUUAUCAAAUACUUGUUUUGGCUUCAUGGUGUUUUUGAUAAUUUAUUAAAGUGACUGUUGGCCUGCUACCAACUUUCAUUUUAUUGAUUGCUCUAUGGUUUCGUGUAUAUUAUGAGUUCCCAAUUUUUUCUUUAUCUUUUGCUGUUGGAUUACAAGUGAUUCAUUUUCAUAAGUUGGUGGCUAUGAAAGGAGUGUUUUUACCCCAUUUUGCAACUCCCCUGCACCAUCACAUUCUGAGAAGCCUUUUUCU